AAACUUGUGGAAUGGAAUUAGUUGCAGGGAGGAGGUCUGAUUUCGUUCAGUUCUCACAGUGAUCUAGUGUCUGACUUUUCUAGGGAAUCCAAUCAAUAAAAUUGAAGACUGGCUGCAGGAUUGCGGAUACUCUGAAGAAGGAUUUUCUGAGGAAGCAGGACAGUUUAUCUACAAUGGCUUCUGCAGCCAUGGGACCAGCUUUGAAGAUGACUUGACCCUGGGAGCAGAGGCCACACUACUGGCCGCCAAUGGCAAACUCUUCUCCAGCAUCUCAGAAAUUCUGGACAAAGUGCAAGAAGAUGCAGAAGAUGUCCUCUUCAGUCUGGGCUUUGGCCAAGAGGAUCACAAAGACACUUCUCGGAUACCCGCCCGAUUUUUCACCACCCCCUCUCAGGCCAAGGGCAUUGAUUUCCAGCUCUUCCUGAAGUCCCAGGUGCGGAGGAUUGAAAUGGAAGACCCCUGCCUCAUGCUGGCCAGCAGGUUUAAGCAGGUGCAAACACUGGCUGUCACUGCUGAUGCCUUCUUCUGUCUCUACUCCUAUGUGUCUAAGACACCUGUCCAAAAGUUCACACCAUC
rnacentral:sRNA from 1 species